GAGAGAGAGAGAGGGAGGGAGGGAGAGAGGGAGAGAGAGGGAGGGCGAUGAGGGAGAGUGAGAGAGAGAGAGGGAGAGAGAGAGAGAAAGGGAGGGCGAUGGAGGGAGAGAGAGAGAGAGGGAGGGAGAGAAAGAGAGAGUGAUGGAGGGAGAGCAAGAGAGAGAGAGGGACGGAGGGAGGGAGAGAGAGAGAGGGAGGGAGAGAGACGGAGAGUGAGAGAGAGAGGGAGAGAGAGAGAGAGAGAGAGAGAGAGGGAGAAUGAACACAGUCUGCAGCCCAGAGCCGUGGAAUUACAGCAAGAGAACAUUUUUCAGGGACUGACCUUCCCACACGAGAGGAGAGAGGAGAAGAGAGGAGAAGAGAGGAGAAGAGAGGAGAAGAGAGGAGAGAGGGAUGCAUGUGAGCCAAACAAAGAAGAGAAGCACCUGUUUAUUAUCUGCCUGAUCGCCGACUAUCGCCAGGAGCUCACAGAUACAGAGGCACAGAGACACACACACACACACACACAGAGACACACAGGCACAGAUACAGAGACACAGACACAGACGCAGCGGGAGGAGGAGGAGGGGGGAGGGGGAGGGGGCUCUUCUCUUCUCUUCAUCUGGAAAGCAGAGUGUUUCAGUGUUUCGGUGUUUUCGGAGGAGCUGGUUGCCACGGAGCAGGACUCAGCGAUCGCAGCCCAGCUUCAGCCUCGUCUGGAGGCACAGUGGUGGAAUUGUGCUACUGCUGGCCAGGAGGGAACCGACAUGGGUGAGUGUGUGUGUGUGUGUGAUAUGUGUGUGUGUGAUAUGAGUAUGUGUGUGUCUGUGUGUGUGAUAUGAGUAUGUGUGUGUGAUAUGAGUAUGUGUGUGAUAUGAGUAUGUGUGUGUGAUAUGAGUAUGUGUGUGUCUGUGUGUGUGAUAUGAGUAUGUGUGUGUCUGUGUGUGUGAUAUGAGUAUGUGUGUGUCUGUGUGUGUGAUAUGAGUAUGUGUGUGUCUGUGUGUGUGAUAUGAGUAUGUGUGUGAUAUGUGUGUGUGAUAUGAGUAUAUGUGUGUCUGUGUGUGUGAUAUGAGUAUGUGUGUGUCUGUGUGUGUGAUAUGAGUAUGUGUGUGUCUGUGUGUGUAUGUGUGUGUGAUAUGAGUAUAUGUGUGUCUGUGUGUGUGAUAUGUGUGUAUUAAAGAUGGUGAUUUUGAUUUCUACCGUCUCAGUUUCGCUCUCUUGUCUCCGCUGUGUGCCAGUGUGCCUGUGUGUGUGUGAUAUGUGUGUG
rnacentral:lncRNA from 1 species